AACAGGGGAGCUUGUGCAGACAGGCUGAGAGGAAGUUUGAAACUUCGACCCUUUUACCUGAUGCGGAUAAUGCCGCCGUAGGAAGUGUGAUAU
rnacentral:ncRNA from 1 species